CUUUUUGGAGACCACACGAGGCAUCCUCGUCCUGCUCGCCCUUCAGUCCCUAAGUUCUCAAUCUCUCCUCCUUCCUGUGUUAUCUCCAAAAUCCACACCUAAUCCCCAUGAAAUUGAGCUCGUUUUUGUUGCCUUCUCUGCUUCGCGCAACAUUUUUCCUCCAUAGAUCCAUGAGAGGGCGUGCAAAGGGCAGGACAACCGUGAUGCAAGCUCGUGCACCCGCUGCGUUACCAUGGUGUGCGAUGGCGGAGAUCGGUGCCGGCUGGGGCAGCGAUGCAGGAAACGGCACACCUCGUUGCUGGAAUCGGCCGACUGGAAAGCUGCAACCGGCAUCCGUUGAUGCUGGAACCAGUAAUCAUUUUUGCUACCACAGGCGUUUGGUUUUGCUGGAACCACCGCAAAUUUGUAAGUUUGCUACUACUGAUUUUCUGGUUUGCUGGAACAAGCUUGAAUUUUUGCUGGAACCAUAUUCUUUUUUUGCGGGAACCGACCCAUGUUUUUGCUACCACCCACUCACCUCAAAUCUGCUACCAUGAUGAUUUUUUGCUGGAACCAGCGAACCACUUUGCUACAACCGUUUUGGGUUUUGUUACUAUUGUUUGUUUUGUGAUUUUUUGCUACAUCCAUCUCCAUGACAUAGCCUGUUUUUCCAGUCAAUUUUGCUACAACCAUGCUUUGAUUUUGCUGGAAACGAAGACAAUUUUUGCUACAAUCAUUUUUUGAUUUUGCUGGAAUCGAAGAUAAUUUUUGUUACAUCCACCAGGCGGCGAGCUUUCUUUUUGCUGCAACCGUCUCGGAUUUUUUGCUACUACAGGAGUUGCCAUUUUGCUACUACCAGAGCCUUGCUCGAAGCAUCAGGAGUUUUUGCUACCACCCCCUUUUAUUUUUGUUUCGAUUUUUGCUGGAACCAGCCUAAAAAUUGCUCCAACCGUCGUUCGAUUUUGCUGGAACCGGCAUUUUUUGCUUCGCCGGUGGCGGUGAAGGCGGGUGGCGUCUUGCUUCGCCAGCGGCGGCUAGGCUGCGAGCACCGGCGGCGAGCAGAAGCAACGAGGGUCCAAAGGAGGGCAGCGGGGGCUAGCGUGCGGGAUCCCGCGAGCGGCGGCGGCGCUCGCUUUUUUUCCCUGUGCGGAGGAUGACGAAAGGGGAUGCGGGACAGAUCUGACGGUCCCGCGCGUCCAGAUCGAGCGGCUCAGGUUGGACCGGCCGAAACUUUGCGCCGGCGAUAUCGCUGGUUUGGCGCAUUACUCCUUGUAAGAUCAAGUAUAGCGACCAAAGGGGAUCAGGCGGUCUAAAGAAAUUCUGAAGUAGCACUGAAUGAAGCUUAUUUUAA